GGAUGUAGCUCAGUGGCACAGUGUUUGCCUAGCAUGCACAGGGUCCUGGGUUCAAUCCCCAGAACUG
rnacentral:tRNA from 1 species